CACGGCAUACCGACGAACAACUUGGAUGGAGGCGGGGGACCCACCGGUCCACCGAGUCAAACGGACCUUGGAGCCAUCGGCUCCUUGGGGUGAAGCCGGAUCGCCGAGUGAAAUCACCUGCGCGACACGGCCGGGCAUCCUCUCCAGCCCGAACCCGACAGCUGACCUCGCGGGCGCCGAAGAGAGGACCG
rnacentral:sRNA from 2 species